UUGGCACUAUUUAAAGAGUCCCUUCGCCAAGCUAGAAUCAUCACAACCCGGGCAACGUUCAACAGUUUGACAAGUAGGGCAGUACUCUGUGAAACGUAAAAAAAACAACAUGGCUUCCAAAACCAUUCUUCUACUCCUAAUCGUGGCUACCCUGAUGAUGACGGUUACGAACUCAGUCGAAGGUUUGCAACUGUUGGAGGAUCCCAAUAUCAAAUUAAGGGGAACCAAGGUCGCAAAUGCUCCCCAUUCUGCUCAAGUAGCUGGCGCAGCCCAAGCAGCGGAAGCACCUGUCAAUCUUGGGGGUUAGAGAGUAUCUGGUUUGGGAUACCGGAAAUAUUCGAUUUAUUUUUUCCUUUAUAUCCAAAAGCUUCUUGAUAUUUGAUAAACAGCACCAUUCGCACAUUA